GUGCAGCAGUCGAGAAACCUCCGCAAUGCGCGAAAGCGCGACGGGGUUACCCCGAGUGCCGUCCGCUGAGGACGGCUUUUGCCCAGUGUAGCCAGCUGGGCGAAUAAGGAGAGGGCAAGUCUGGUGUCAGCCGCCGCGGUAAUACCAGCUCUCCGAGUGGUGGGGACGCUUAUUGGGCCUAAAGCAUCCGUAGCCGGUCUGGCAAGUCCCUUGUAAAUCCAACGAUUCAAUCGUUGGACUGCAAGGGGAUACUGCCAGACUAGGGGGCGGGAGAGGCCGACGGUAUUCCCGGGGUAGGGUGAAAUCCGUAUAAUCCCGGGAGGACCACCAGUGGCGAAGGCUGUCGGCUAGAACGCGCCCGACGGUGAGGGAUGAAAGCUGGGGGAGCGAACCGGAUUAGAUACCCGGGUAGU
rnacentral:rRNA from 1 species